AAAGCUUUAUCACCAUUCGCCCAAUAGCAAGGUUCCACGUUGCCCGAUAGCUCAAAUAUUCCUUAUCCUCAAUUCAUUAUAACUUUGCCUUUCAUCAUUCAAUACCAUGGCUGAAGCAAUUGUUUCGUUUGCCUUACAGCAACUGGGUUCAAUUCUUUCUGAGCAGACGCCUGGCUUCAUCAGCAAACAAGUGAGCCUUGUUGGGGAUGUUGAAGAAGAAUUUGACAAGCUUAAACACCACCUUGUAGCCAUUAAAGCUGUGCUAUCUGACGCAGAGCAAAAACAAAUGAAGAAUGAAGUUGUGAAAGUAUGGUUACAUCGUCUCAAUGAUGCACAGACUCGAACCAGGCUCGGUGAUUCUGUUAAAUAAAUGCAUGAUGCUUGAAGUUGAGAGUUAGAAGCAGAGAGUCUUGUGAAAGUCCUUCCAGGAGUUAAAACUGUUGAGGAAGGUGUGCAAAUUUAUAGGUAUCUUUACGUGGAGGAGAAGGAAAGGCUCAAUGGUGUCCUUGCAAUAUGUAUUUAUAAACUGGCUACUCAGCCUUACAUUACAUGGCCACUAUUCUCUCUGGACUGGGUUAUGAGGGUGUUCAAAGUCUUUUGGGCCUUGCACAUACUUCUGGAACAAUUUCGGAUGCCCUCCCCCCACCAAGAUAAACUCUUCUGUCAUCAUUCUUGUUGCCAUUUAAACCAAAGGUUCUGGAAGAUUCUGUAGAGGCUGCAAAUCAUUUGCCAACAUAGAAAGUGGAUGCCCCUGAUUAAUAAUCAUUCCGGCUAUCUGUUGGAGAGGAGAGGUAACUUUAUAUGAGGGAAAGGCUUUGUAUGAGAAAAUUAUUUGAGAGGAAGAGACUUAUAAUUUUUAUUCAUGCUUCAAAUAUAAAAUAAUUAGAGUAUUUAUAGGUACAAGAAUGACUUUUAAAAUCCUAAAUACAUGAACCUAACAUUGAACUUGUAUAUUAGCCAUUAACACUCUAAUAUUGUACUUGUGCUACUAACAUUGAACUUGAACUUGUAUAUGAAUCAUGAACUUAUGUCAAUAAUUUUCAAUGAUAACUUCUCGUUCAAUCUUGUAACCUCAUCCUUCUGAUGCAAAACUUCAUCUUUUAGUCUUGCAUACUCAUCACGCUAUUUAAUUUACUCGUGUAUUAUAGCCUUCAAUCGAUUUAAUUUCUCAUUCAAUUUUGACGCUAAAUUUUCUCCCGCUUGUCGUGCUUGCCUCUCUUGAUUUAAUUUCUCAUUCAAUUUUGACGCUAAAUUUUCUGCCGCUUGUCGUGCUUGCCUCUCUUGAUUUAACUCCUCAAGCAAUUUUUUAUAUCUCUUGAUAGAAACCUUCUCUUCAAACAUAUUGCUUUCCUCUCUAUUAAGAUCAACAGUUGCUUUUGCUUUAGUCUUUCCAGUUUCACGAGCAGGUUUAUCUCCGCUGCCACUUUGAGUACAUGGCGUAUGUUUUAACAGGUUUGAGGUUCCAUUCUUGCUUGAAUAUUUAUACUUCGUUGGGCAGUAUUUACAUUGUGCCCAUGUUGUCCCAUUUUCCGAAACCACAUCAAAGUGGUCCCAAGCUGGUGAGGCCCCUGGCCUCUUUCGACCAGUAAGUGGUGAUGGUGUUACUUCUGAGUCAACAACUUUUUUUCCAUUAUCAUCUGUUUGAAUAGAGUCAGCCGCUGCAAGUAGUGGUGGUGCUACUUCCGAAUCAACAUUUUCAUUUUCAUUUCCAUUUCCAUUUCCAUCCGUCUGAGUAGAUUCAACUGGAGCAACAGUUGGAGCUACUUCUGAGUCAGAUUUUUCAUUUCCAUUAUCAACAGGCUGAGUAGAUUCAGCUGCAGCAACUGGUUGAGCUACUUCUGAACCAACCUUUCAUUUCCAUAAGCAAAUUUUUUCGUAUCAAACAGUAAAGACAUAGACAUUAAUUUACACCUAAAAUUCUUGUAACUAUAUAUAUGUAGUUAAGAAAACUCAUCGCAUGUAUAUGAUGAAAACAAAUUAAAUUGCUUAGAAACGAGAAUCAUAUUCCUUAGAUGUUCAUAAUGAGAGAAAAGAAGACAAAUGGAUUUAUCAAAACAAUGUUUUUGGUUUAUUUAUGGCAUGGCGUCACUUACAGUCGGAGCUUGAGAAUUUUUAAAAGAAUAAACUGUACAAGCAUGAAUCUAUUGAGACAGCCUCAGCUUUUUCUCAUUUUUGGAAAAAUUGUAUGUAAUCUUUUAUGUUUUUUUUGAGUGAGAUUAUAAUUUGUAACAAGAUAGAAUUGAGAGAGAAGGAGGUGAGUACCUGUAGCUGUUGUUCAAGUUCUUGCAAAGGGCACCAGUUAUCAGUUAAAAAAUCCAAAGUACCAGGUGACUGCAGCCAGAAUUUGUCAAGUUCUUCAAAAUUCGACCAGCUCUCAAUUAAAGAAUCCAAAGUACCAGGCGACGCCGGCGGGAGGUUUCCAAGAUAGUUCAGAUCCAUGAAAAUGGCUUCUCAGAAUCGUCGAACUUUCACAACCUGUGAAUCAAAAUAUAAAAUUAAUCAUCCUCUGAAAGACAUUAAAGAGCUUCUCUCUUUGCUCAAUGAGUAGAAGAAAAAUUGACUGGGUUGAUUUAUGGUUGGCAGUGAUGUGGUUUUCUCUGUUUUAUAGUGCCAAUUGAAAAGGGUAGUGCCACUUGACUGAAUUCAAGCGACAUGGAAACGAAGGCCGAGUUUCGGUUCGGAUUAUAAUUUGCAUGAAAAA